AUCGCUUCCCAGACCCACUAGAGCACCCACCUGGGGGGAACGAAGCUAUCAGAACUACUAGGAAGAGAAUUUUACAUCCCAAGGCUCCAGAAAAUAUCUCAAGACUUGGCUAGGAGGUGCCAAGUGUGUGCCCGGGUAAAUCAAGGGCCCCCUGUUGUGGCCACGCCGGGACAGCAAUUCUGAGGUCAGAACCCCGGAGAACACUGGGAAGUGGACUUCACCGAGAUACCAGGCGGACAGGAGGGUAUAAGUACCUGCUGGUUUUCAUUGAUACCUUCUCUGGCUGGCCUGAGGCAUACCCAACCAAGGCAGAGACAGUACAGGUAGUAGUUAGAAAACUCCUCACUGAAAUUGUCCCCCGGAGACCGGAAGAGCUUCGUGU